AUACUUACCUGGCAGGGGGAUAUGCCACAAUCACGAAGGUAGUUUUUCCAGGAUGAGGCUUAUGCAUUGCACUCCCGAUGCGCUGAUUUCUCCAAUUUCCCCAAAUGUGGGAAACUCAGCUGUGUGGCUUCUGGUAGUGGGGGACUGCAUUUGCAUUUUCUCC
ensembl:snRNA U1 U1 spliceosomal RNA